rnacentral:lncRNA from 1 species
GUGAACAACUAAUAUUACAUUGACGAUUACGAAAUCGAAGAGAUUCUCAAUAUUUACAAAAUGGGUUUCAAGAUUACUCACAAUCGCAAAAUUAUCGUAGCAUGUUAAGUUGGAUUUUAGUGUUGUAUAAUCUAAAUUUUUAUUUAAAACUAAUGAUAAGGAUGAUAAAAAAUCCCCCGAAAAAAUACCAAGGUCAAUAAAUCAUUAAAUGAGAAGUUCCAACCUCCUG